UACGGGAGGCAGCAGUGGGGAAUAUUGCACAAUGGGCGCAAGCCUGAUGCAGCCAUGCCGCGUGUAUGAAGAAGGCCUUCGGGUUGUAAAGUACUUUCAGUCGUGAGGAAGGUGUUAAGGUUAAUAACCUUAGCAAUUGACGUUAGCGACAGAAGAAGCACCGGCUAACUCCGUGCCAGCAGCCGCGGUAAUACGGAGGGUGCGAGCGUUAAUCGGAAUUACUGGGCGUAAAGGGCACGCAGGCGGUUAAUAAGUUGGAUGUGAAAUCCCCGGGCUUAACCUGGGAAUGGCAUUCAAGACUGGUUAGCUAGAGUCUUGUAGAGGGGGUAGAAUUCCAUGUGUAGCGGUGAAAUGCGUAGAGAUGUGGAGGAAUACCGGUGGCGAAGGCGGCCCCUGGGACAAAGACUGACGCUCAUGUGCGAAAGCGUGGGGAGCAAACAGGGAUUAGAUACC
rnacentral:rRNA from 1 species